rnacentral:rRNA from 1 species
GGGCGUAAGGGCUCGCAGGCGGUUUCUUAAGUCUGAUGUGAAAGCCCCCGGCUCAACCGGGGAGGGUCAUUGGAAACUGGGAAACUUGAGUGCAGAAGAGGAGAGUGGAAUUCCACGUGUAGCGGUGAAAUGCGUAGAGAUGUGGAGGAACACCAGUGGCGAAGGCGACUCUCUGGUCUGUAACUGACGCUGAGGAGCGAAAGCGUGGGGAGCGAACAGGAUUAGAUACCCUGGUAGUCCACGCCGUAAACGAUGAGUGCUAAGUGUUAGGGGGUUUCCGCCCCUUAGUGCUGCAGCUAACGCAUUAAGCACUCCGCCUGGGGAGUACGGUCGCAAGACUGAAACUCAAAGGAAUUGACGGGGGCCCGCACAAGCGGUGGAGCAUGUGGUUUAAUUCGAAGCAACGCGAAGAACCUUACCAGGUCUUGACAUCCUCUGACAACCCUAGAGAUAGGGCUUUCCCUUCGGGGACAGAGUGACAGGUGGUGCAUGGUUGUCGUCAGCUCGUGUCGUGAGAUGUUGGGUUAAGUCCCGCAACGAGCGCAACCCUUGAUCUUAGUUGCCAGCAUUUAGUUGGGCACUCUAAGGUGACUGCCGGUGACAAACCGGAGGAAGGUGGGGAUGACGU